AGCGAACGCUGGCGGCAGGCCUAACACAUGCAAGUCGAACGAACCCUUCGGGGUUAGUGGCGGACGGGUGAGUAACACGUGGGAACGUGCCUUUAGGUUCGGAAUAACUCAGGGAAACUUGUGCUAAUACCGAAUGUGCCCUUCGGGGGAAAGAUUUAUCGCCUUUAGAGCGGCCCGCGUCUGAUUAGCUAGUUGGUGAGGUAAUGGCUCACCAAGGCUACGAUCAGUAGCUGGGCUGAGAGGAUGACCAGCCACAUUGGGACUGAGACACGGCCCAAACUCCUACGGGAGGCAGCAGUGGGGAAUCUUGCGCAAUGGGCGAAAGCUUGACGCAGCCAUGCCGCGUGGAUGAUGAAGGUCUUAGGAUUGUAAAAUCCUUUCACCGGUGAAGAUAAUGACUGUAGCCGGAGAAGAAGCCCCGGCUAACUUCGUGCCAGCAGCCGCGGUAAAAC
rnacentral:rRNA from 1 species